ensembl:snRNA U6 U6 spliceosomal RNA
AUAGUCCUUGCCUCAGCAGCACUAAAAUUGAAACAAUACAGAGAGGAUUUGCAUCCUCUAGAAGAUAGGCCCUUGCACAAGGGUGACAUGCAAAUUCGUGAUGUGUUACAUAUUUUU